AUCCCAGAAUUUGGGAGGUAAAGGCAGGUG
rnacentral:piRNA from 1 species